AUCACCCAGGAGGCAGCGUGGACAAUGGAUUGGAGAAGGGCGAACAUUCAGUCAGAGACUUUGUGAGCUUACUGUAAAUUAGAGGGAGCAAAUUGGAGGAGAAAUGACAAAAGAAACAGAAAAAAUGUUUAAUCAGACAAAGGAACUAAAAAACCUCAGUCUUAAUUAGAAGAUGGUCAAACAAAUCUCUUAACUGAUGUUCACAAUGAUGGUUUCAAGUCAUCUAAGGAAUGGCUGGCUCUUGGAUGGAUGUUUGGCUGAAACAUUUUACCAUCCUGGACACCAUGCUUACUUUAAAUGAUUCCAGGAAUUUGCAGAAUGUGGAGAUAACAUCUGUUACCAAGACUGUACAGAAGUAUAGUGGUAUCCACUUCUGGGGAGGCCUGAGGAAGCUUCUAAUCAUGGCAGAAGUUGAAGCUGGUAUGUAAAAUGCAAAAGCAGGAGCAAGAGAGAGAGAGAGAGAAAGGAUAGCUCCUCUCCUCCAGAAUAACUGAGGAGCCUGAAUAAUUGACUCUAUCAUUUGAAACCUAUAUCCUGAACAUGUUUCAGUAAUAAUUCUGUGACCAUAAUUCUGUGUCUCGUUCUCCUUUCAAGACUGAAUGAUAG
ensembl:lncRNA novel transcript, antisense to CD36